rnacentral:rRNA from 1 species
UACAGAGGGUGCGAGCGUUAAUCGGAAUUACUGGGCGUAAAGCGUGCGUAGACGGCUAUCUAAGUCGGGUGUGAAAGCCCCGGGCUCAACCUGGGAAUUGCAUUCGAGACUGAAUAGCUAGGGUACGGUAGAGGGAAGUGGAAUUCCGGUGUAGCGGUGAAAUGCGUAGAUAUCGGAAGGAACAUCAGUGGCGAAAGCGACUUCCUGGACCAGUACCGACGUC